GACUUGGGUUUUUCUUUAUAAUUUCAAUUUUUAUUUGAAAGGGGCUACGGCUGCAGAUGUUACCUGAGUAUAUUGCUAGAUGCUGAGGUUCGGGGUACGAAUCAUCCCGUCACUUCAGUGCUGAGCCUAGUACCCAAUAGUUUUUUCAACCCUUGCCUCCCUCAAAAUUGGGAGACUUUUUAAACUACACUUGGCGACAUUUAAAUAGUAGUUUGGGGCUGGGUGGCUCAGGCCUGUAAUCUCAGCACUUUGGGAGGCCAUGGCAGGCAGUGACCCGCGUCUGUGGUCUCAGCAACUCGGGAGGCUGAGGCGGGAGGGUCACUCAAUCGUAGGAAUUGGAGGCUGCAGUGAGCUAUGAUCGCACCACCCUGGGCGACAGAGACCUUCUCUAUAGAUUAGAAAGAUAAGAUAAAGGUUCUUGGGUCCUUUGCAGUGCAAAAUCCUAAAUGCACAGGUAAAGGCUUGAUUUUAUUUAUUUACUUAUUUAUUUGUUUUAUGUUUGAGACAGGGUCCCACUGUGUCACUCAGGCUGGAGUGCAGUGGCACUAUCUCGGCUCAGUGCAACUUCCAGCCACUUAAGGUCAAACCAUCCUCCCACUUCAGCUUCCCGUAUAGCUGGUACUAUAGUCGCACACUACCACAUCUGGCUAACUUUUGUAUUUUUUGUAGAGAUGAGAUCUUGCCAUGUUGCUCAGGCUGGAGUGCAGUGGCUAUUCACAGGCAUGAUCCUACUACUGAUCAGCAUGGGAGUUUCGACCUGCUCCGUUUCUGACCUCGGCUGGUUCACCCCUCCUUAGGCAACCUGGUGGUCCCGGGAGGUCACCAUAUUGAUGCCGAACUUAGUGCGGACACCCACUUCGGCAUAAUGCACUACAGCCCAGUACUCCUGGAUUUAAGCUAUCCUCCAGCCUCAGCCUCUCAAGUAGCUGGGACUACAGACAUAUGCCACUGAGGCCAGGGUUUUUUUUUUUGUAUUUUAAAUAGAGACAGGGUUUUGCCAUGUUGCCCAGGCUGGUCUUGAACUCCUGGCCUCAAGCAAUCAGCCCACCUGCCUUGGCCUUCCAUAGUGCUGGGAUUACAGGCAUGAACCACUGCACCCCGCCUAAAAUUAAUUUCCAUAUGUGAAAAAAACCAUAAACAAUAUUAAAAGAUAAGGCCAGAAGAAAAUGUUUGCAAUUCAAAAAACUGACAAAAGAUUAGAGUACAGAAUAUACAUGGGGAAAACUUUUAUAAAUCAAUAAGGAAAAGGGAAAAAUGCAAUGUAAAAUAAUUAUCAAAGAAUGUAAAUUGGCCAGGCACAGUGGCCCAUGCCUGUAAUCUCAGCACUUUGAGAGGCCAAGGCAGGAGGAUUACUUGAGGCCAGAAGUCUGGGACCAGCCUAGUCAACAUAGUAAGGCUCCAUCUGUACAAAAAAUUAAAAAUAGCCAGGCACGGUGGUGCACACCUGCAGUCCCAGCUACUUUAGCCAGGCUAAAGUGGGAGGAUCACUUGAGCCCAGGAGUUCAAGGUUGUAGUGGGCCAUGAUUGAGCCACCGCACUCCAGCCUAGGCAACAGAGUAAGACUCAGCCUAAAAAAAAAAAAAAAAAAAAAAAAAAAAAAAAAAAAAAAAAAAAUUAAAAAUUAAAAUAAUGUGAAUAGGUAAUUCAGAGAAGUAAAACCCAAAUUGUCAACAGCAUAUCAAAAGAUGUUUAGCCUCUCUAUUAAUGAGGAAAAUUCAGAAUUGACAUUGGAUUGCUUUUCAUAUAAUAUGAGAAUGGCAAAAUCUAAAAUCUAAUAA
ensembl:lncRNA